GACGAACGCUGGCGGCGUGCCUAAUACAUGCAAGUAGAACGCUGAAGGAGGAGCUUGCUUCUCCGGAUGAGUUGCGAACGGGUGAGUAACGCGUAGGUAACCUGCCUGGUAGCGGGGGAUAACUAUUGGAAACGAUAGCUAAUACCGCAUAACAGUAGAUAUUACAUGAUAUCUGCUUGAAAGGUGCAGUUGCAUCACUACCAGAUGGACCUGCGUUGUAUUAGCUAGUUGGUGAGGUAACGGCUCACCAAGGCAACGAUACAUAGCCGACCUGAGAGGGUGAUCGGCCACACUGGGACUGAGACACGGCCCAGACUCCUACGGGAGGCAGCAGUAGGGAAUCUUCGGCAAUGGACGGAAGUCUGACCGAGCAACGCCGCGUGAGUGAAGAAGGUUUUCGGAUCGUAAAGCUCUGUUGUAAGAGAAGAACGAGUGUGAGAGUGGAAAGUUCACAA
rnacentral:rRNA from 1 species